GCGCUCGCGGCCGGGAAGUGGGAGAGUGCGCGGCUGCGCGCGGAGAAACCCACCUGAAAGCGCGGCCGUCGCAGUCGCACGCAGCGCAGCACGACGCCCCGCGGGGCAGCAGGCAUGCCACCCGGGCUGUUCGCUGCCAUCCGCGGCCGCCGGCUCUCGACCGCGGCCGCCGCCACGCCGCUCUCCAGCCUCACCGACGCGCUCCUCGCCACCCGCCUCGCGACCCACCUCCUCGCCACGCCGCACCUGCCCGCCGAGCUGCUGCCCGCGGCGCCGCUGCCGCUCCCCGUCCACCUGCACAUCCUCCGCCACCCGGCGCUCCCGCCGGCCUCCAAGCUCUCCUUCUUCCUCGCCGCCACGCCGCCGGCCUCCCCGCUCCUCGCCUCCACCUUCCCCGCCCUCCUCCGCGCGCUCGCCGCGGGCUCCCCGACGCUCCUCGACGAGCUCCUCCCGUUCGCGCUCUCCUGCCCGUCCCCGGCCGCCCUGCUCCCCACCCUCCUCGCAUCGCUCCUCUCCGCGUCGCGCCUCGACGCCGCGCUCGCCCUCUUGGACGCCGCGCCGCCCGACCUCCUCCCCCGCCUCGCCGCCGCCGCUCUCCCUUCCCUCAUAGCCUCCCCGGACAUCAUCGCGGCCGUCCCCGCCAUUCGCAGGCUACUGCCUAUCGCCUCCCACCCACCGCCCAUCCGGGCCACGAACCGCCUCCUUCUCGCCUUGUCCAAGGAGAACCUCUGCGAUGACUUCCGCCAUGUGUUCGACGAAAUGUCGAGGAGGGGCCUCCAGUCGAAUGUAAGGUUCUACAACAUUUGCAUCCACGCGUUUGGCAAGUGGAGGCAGCUGGAUAUGUCACUGAGGCUUUUCGCGGCAAUGAAGGCUGCCACUCCUGUUGUGCCAGACAUAUGCACGCAUAACUCGGUCAUCCGGGCGCUUGUGGUUGGUGGGCGGGUUACUGAUGCUUUGGUCACCUUUGAUGAAAUGAAGUCUUCUGGAAUUGAGCCUGAUGUGUUCACUUAUCGAGCAGUCAUGAAUGGGUGCUGCAAGAGUUUUCGGAUGGAUGAUGCAUUGCGUGUGUUUCAGGAGAUGCGGGGUAGCAGUGGGGUGAGUGAUGUUGUUGUGUACAAUUCACUUCUUGAUGGGCUGUUUAAAGCGAAAAAGCUCGAUGAGGCAUGUGGAUUUUUUGAGACAAUGGUGGCGGAUGGAAUCCAAUGCUCAGCGAGCACACACAACACUGUGAUCGAUGGGCUGUUCAAGAAUGGGAGGGCAGAAGCAGCAUGCCGGCUGUUUUAUGAGCUAAGAAGGAAAGAACAACUGUUGGAUGGAAUUGCUUAUAGUAUCAUGGUGCGGGAGUUCUGCAAGGAGGGGGUGGGGGACCAAGUUGCAGAGGCCCUAGAGUUGGUGAAGGAGAUGGAGCAGAGGGGCUUCGUUGUUGAUUUGGUUACCAUAACAUCGUUGCUUAUAGGUUUUACCAAGAGUAAACGUUGGGACCUGGAAGAACAAAUAGUAAAGUUUAUAAGGGAUGGCUCUGUAUUGCCGGAUGCCAUCUGGUGGAAAUCAAACAUGAUGGUUGCCUUGAGAGGCCCUCAGGACAGGGCAAAAGAUGGGAUGCCGAUGUUUUCCUUUGAUGGUAAUAUGGAUGACGUAAUGGGUUUGGUUAAUCCUGCAGGACGUACUGAUACUGAUGCCCCCAAAUAAUGAUCCCAAGGAUGAUUGGUCAUUGUCACCACACUUGGAUCAUCUUGCUAAACGUGCUGACAGUUUAGAGAGCUCUGUUAUAUUUACAAUGCACAGAGGGCAGCGGGUGCAAGGUAUGGGGGCCAAAACUUUUGACGCUGACAUGAUCAAUACAUACGUGUCAAUUUUUUUAGCCAAAGGGAAGCUAAGUGUAGCUUGCAAGUUAUUUGAGAUCUUUACAAAUCUAGGAAACAAAGGGACAAGCUAUACAUACAAUUCACUGAUGACCUCAUUUGUCAAGAAGGGAUAUUUGAAACAGGUGUGGGCAAUUCUUCAUGAGAGGGGCGGACAGCUCUGUCCUAAUGAUGUAGCAACUUAUAAUCUAAUCAUUCAGGGUCUCGGGCAGAUGGGAAAAGCAGAGGUUGCUAGCACAAUUAUUGACAGGUUGUCAAAGAAAGGUGUUUACAUGGACAUUGUCAUGUAUAACACACUGAUCAAUCAGUUUGGGAAGGUUGGGAAGGUUGAAGAAGCAAGCUGUUUGUUUGAGCAGAUACUCAGAAGCGGCAUGAAGCCAGAUGUUGUCACUUUUAAUACCUUGAUUAAUAUUAAUGCAAAAGCUGGUAGAUUAAAGGAAGCUGACAAGUAUUUGAGGAGGAUGAUUACAGAAGGCAUUGUGCCAAACCAUGCCACAGAAACAAUACUGGUUUUCCUUCAUAAGGAGAUUGAAAAGAAAAGGCAGCAGGAUGAAUGAACUACGGCAAUAAAAUAUGAACAAAAACAGUGCCAUAACUUCUAAUUUUGUAUGGAUCAUUUGAAGGCACGUUCUUUCUAUAUUCAAACUGAAAAACUGCAGUACAAAUCAUUAUUAUUGUUAUAAAAAAUUUGGUACUAAUACAGUUCAGAAGGCUUGGCUGAACCACAAUACUGGAGUGAUAAUCACUUUCAGUAUGCUGGUAUUCCUGCUUUUACCAAGAAGGAAGAUGUCUGAUGUCUUGACAGUUUAGAGAAAUUACUGCGGGUUUCCUGUAAACAUGCUUAGAUGAUUAGGCAGCAUGUUGUCCAAAUGACACGUCAAAUGCCACAAACUGCAUUAAUUGCAUCGAAUGGGAUCUUCCAGUACCACAUCACAUAUGCAGAGUCAAUUUAAACUGCCAUGAGGUAAAUCUUGCAGUAUGCAAUUAUUUUUUCCCUAAUUUUUUUGUUAGUUAUCUUUUGAGUUUUGUAUCCAAUAUAUGUUAGAUGAAUGAAACUGCAGCAAUGUAUAAGGCUAUUUAGAAUUACUUGAUCACAAUUGUCUGCUGCAAAGUCAUUGUUAAGAAUGCAUUUUAUUAGAGAAUUGGAUAGCUGAAGUAUUCGGUAGGUACCUGUAGAUACUUCUGUUUCUUUUUUCUUUUCCCUUGUGUGAAGUUUGAUGUUGCAUAGACUCAGUCAUGCUCUCAUUUUUCUCUACAAGUGAUAUGUUGGGAGAUAUUGAUAGUUUUAGUUAUGUCAAUGUUUUUCCUAUAGUUGUUUAAUUCAGGUGUUGAACUCAUUUGCUCCCUUUUUUUUACAUGAAUAUGCUAUCAGUAUACAUGCGUCAACCAAAUGUUGAAAUAAAUUAUCUUACCUAUGCAUUCUUCUUUUGAACUAACAGAGCAAUCUUGGCUUCUCUUAUCGAACCCAUGGUAGGAAGUACGACCUUUUUUUUCCUUCAAAUUUGCAACUUUCAGAGUUUUAAGCACAGGAAAUGGAGUCACAGAGCCACCUUCCUAUGAAAACAAGGACAAAUCAAUAAGGUCCUUCGAUAUUUUAAUCUAACACUUGUUGCUGUAAUUCAAAUAGUCCUCUUGGUCUGGCUCCUGGAAUCCUUAAUAUGGUGAAAAAACACUAGAAGACUUUAAGCUCUUUUGUUAAUUAAAUGUUGAAUGGGGCAUGUAUAGUUCAUGAAACUUAUUGCCCAAUUGUUGUGAUUUCAUCUUUAUUCUUUUCUCUCAUAAGAAUAAUUGUUGUCUUCUAUACAGAUGUGCUUAACACAGGAAGAGGAUCAUUUGAAGAAAAAAAAAAUCCAUGAGCUACAGGUGCGAAUCAGACAAAUCAGAUUCAUUUAUUUCCGAGGAUUGACAUCAAACUAACUCCUAUCAAUUGUGUGUAAAAUUUUGGAGGCAAAGAAUGAAGUCAUGUUGUUAUUGGAUCACUGGAAACAAGCUGAUUUGAUCCGUUGGUCAUUCUUGAAGCAGCACAAUGAUGAAGCGGCAUGAUUAAGUUGAAAAGAAGGCAGGUAGCAGUAGAAAGUGAGCUAAAGGAAAUGCAGGGUAGGAGGUACUCAGAACUCAGCGUGCAGUUUGCUGAAGUGGAGGGAGAAAGGCAGAAGCUGAAAAUGGGAGUAAAUUUUGUAGGUUGCUUUCAUUGGGUUUCAUUCAUUAGUUUCUGAAAGCAUCAAGAAAACUCUGCAAGUCCACAUAAGAUUUUUGAUUAGGUGGCAGAGAGAGAGAGUGGGGAGAGAGAACAAGAUAUGGGAUUGCAUUAACCUAUGCUGUCCUGAACUCCUAAUGCCAAUUUCAAGCUCCGAUUAGUUUGCAAAAAUUAGGGGAAACGACAGCCUUGAGCCUGUCGUUCUUAGAUGGUUUAUGGUCUUUGUCUAGCAUUUCUUAAGAUGAUACAUCAAAAUUCAAUGUAUGAUCCCAUAAAGUUGUGAUUUUACUCUAUGUAUGUGGUUGUGUAAUCAACAAAAUACUUUAUCUUUUGUGUGAAUUAAAUAUUUUUCAAUUUGAAUUAUGAAUCAUGUAUUGUUUGGUGUAUGUCUGAAAAUUUUUCGUGGCGUUAGCACGGGCACCUUACUAGUUUUAAUAGACAUUCCAUGAUUGUUCAUUGUAGGUCAUGAAAGAAAUGCAACACUUGAUUGGCCAAUAAGGUUCGGGAUAAUCAAAGGAGUAGCUAGAGGACUUCUUUACCUCCAUCAUGAUUCAAGACUUACAAUAGUACACAGAGAUCUCGAAGCCAGUAAUAUUUUGCUAGAUGCAGAGAUGAGACCCAAGAUAGCAGACUUUGGUAUGGCAAGGAUCUUUGGUGACAACCAGGAAAAUGCAAAUACAAGAAGAGUUGUUGGGACAUAUGCUUAUAUGGCUCCUGAGUAUGCAAUGGAGGGCAUUUUCUCUGCGAAGACCGAUGUCUAUAGCUUUGGUGUCUUACUGUUGGAGGUUGUAAGUGGCAUCAAGAUAAGCUCUGUUGAUCGCAUUCCGAGUUACGCAAACCUAAUAGUCUAUGCAUGGAACCUUUGGAAGGAAGGGAAGGCAAAAGAUUUGGUAGACAAAUGUAUUGUGGAGAACUGCUUACUAGAUGAAGCUUCACUCUGCGUCCAUAUGGGGCUUUUGUGUGUACAAGAAAAUCCUGACGACAGGCCAUUCAUGUCUAAUGUUGUGCUCAACUUGGAGAAUGGAUGUACAACACUACCAGCGCCAAAUCACCCUGCAUAUUUCAUAAAGAGAAAUAGUGAUGAGGGGCAAAUGAGUGAAAGUAUUGUGAACUCUAAGAACACAGUGACUCUUACAGUCAUAGAGGGUAGAUAGAGUAACUCCUCUUAGUUUUCAAUCAUAAAACAUUUGUCUAGAUCAAUAUUGUGAAAUAAUUUCUUUUCGCUGUGAUCCGGAUGUUAUUAAUACAAGUGUAUUGCUGCUAUCUUCCCUACUAGAA